GCUUAACACAUGCAAGUCGAGGGGCAGCAUGGUCUUAGCUUGCUAAGACUGAUGGCGACCGGCGCACGGGUGAGUAACACGUAUCCAACCUGCCGUCUACUCUUGGACAGCCUUCUGAAAGGAAGAUUAAUACAAGAUGGCAUCAUGAGUCCGCAUGUUCACAUGAUUAAAGGUAUUCCGGUAGACGAUGGGGAUGCGUUCCAUUAGAUAGUAGGCGGGGUAACGGCCCACCUAGUCUUCGAUGGAUAGGGGUUCUGAGAGGAAGGUCCCCCACAUUGGAACUGAGACACGGUCCAAACUCCUACGGGAGGCAGCAGUGAGGAAUAUUGGUCAAUGGGCGAGAGCCUGAACCAGCCAAGUAGCGUGAAGGAUGACUGCCCUAUGGGUUGUAAACUUCUUUUAUAAAGGAAUAAAGUCGGGUAUGCAUACCCGUUUGCAUGUACUUUAUGAAUAAGGAUCGGCUAACUCCGUGCCAGCAGCCGCGGUAAUACGGAGGAUCCGAGCGUUAUCCGGAUUUAUUGGGUUUAAAGGGAGCGUAGAUGGAUGUUUAAGUCAGUUGUGAAAGUUUGCGGCUCAACCGUAAAAUUGCAGUUGAUACUGGAUAUCUUGAGUGCAGUUGAGGCAGGCGGAAUUCGUGGUGUAGCGGUGAAAUGCUUAGAUAUCACGAAGAACUCCGAUUGCGAAGGCAGCCUGCUAAGCUGCAACUGACAUUGAGGCUCGAAAGUGUGGGUAUCAAACAGGAUUAGAUACCCUGGUAGUCCACACGGUAAACGAUGAAUACUCGCUGUUUGCGAUAUACGGCAAGCGGCCAAGCGAAAGCGUUAAGUAUUCCACCUGGGGAGUACGCCGGCAACGGUGAAACUCAAAGGAAUUGACGGGGGCCCGCACAAGCGGAGGAACAUGUGGUUUAAUUCGAUGAUACGCGAGGAACCUUACCCGGGCUUAAAUUGCAGAUGAAUUACGGUGAAAGCCGUAAGCCGCAAGGCAUCUGUGAAGGUGCUGCAUGGUUGUCGUCAGCUCGUGCCGUGAGGUGUCGGCUUAAGUGCCAUAACGAGCGCAACCCUUGUUGUCAGUUACUAACAGGUUCCGCUGAGGACUCUGACAAGACUGCCAUCGUAAGAUGUGAGGAAGGUGGGGAUGACGUCAAAUCAGCACGGCCCUUACGUCCGGGGCUACACACGUGUUACAAUGGGGGGUACAGAGGGCCGCUACCACGCGAGUGGAUGCCAAUCCCAAAAACCUCUCUCAGUUCGGACUGGAGUCUGCAACCCGACUCCACGAAGCUGGAUUCGCUAGUAAUCGCGCAUCAGCCACGGCGCGGUGAAUACGUUCCCGGGCCUUGUACACACCGCCCGUCAAGCCAUGGGAGCCGGGGGUACCUGAAGUGCGUAACCGCGAGGAGCGCCCUAGGGUAAAACUGGUGACUGGGGC
rnacentral:rRNA from 1 species